GUAAGGAACUGGUGGCGCACUCCAGCGACCUUCUGGAUAGCCAGUUGAGUCUGCGCCAGCGCCUGGCCGUGCGCGCGCACCUGGCCAUGUGUUUGCGCUGCCGGCGUUUCAUCAAGCAGAUGCGCCUGACCCAGGCCGUGCUGCGCCAACUGCCGCAAGAGCCGAUCGCCGAGCUCGAUGCCCUGGCCGCCAAACUGGCCGAGCUCAGGCGCAAGUCGUCCUGAACCCCGAUGUGCUAAAUCCCGUUAA
rnacentral:sRNA from 1 species